AGAGUUUGAUCCUGGCUCAGGACGAACGCUGGCGGCGUGCCUAAUACAUGCAAGUCGAGCGAAUCUUUAGGAGCUUGCUCCUAAAGAUUAGCGGCGGACGGGUGAGUAACACGUGGGCAACCUGCCUAUAAGACUGGGAUAACUUCGGGAAACCGGAGCUAAUACCGGAUAAUCCUUUUCCUCACAUGAGGAAAAGCUGAAAGACGGUUUCGGCUGUCACUUAUAGAUGGGCCCGCGGCGCAUUAGCUAGUUGGUGAGGUAAUGGCUCACCAAGGCGACGAUGCGUAGCCGACCUGAGAGGGUGAUCGGCCACACUGGGACUGAGACACGGCCCAGACUCCUACGGGAGGCAGCAGUAGGGAAUCUUCCGCAAUGGACGAAAGUCUGACGGAGCAACGCCGCGUGAACGAUGAAGGCCUUCGGGUCGUAAAGUUCUGUUGUUAGGGAAGAACAAGUAUCGGAGUAACUGCCGGUACCUUGACGGUACCUAACCAGAAAGCCACGGCUAACUACGUGCCAGCAGCCGCGGUAAUACGUAGGUGGCAAGCGUUGUCCGGAAUUAUUGGGCGUAAAGCGCGCGCAGGCGGUUCCUUAAGUCUGAUGUGAAAGCCCCCGGCUCAACCGGGGAGGGUCAUUGGAAACUGGGGAACUUGAGUACUGAAGAGGAAAGCGGAAUUCCACGUGUAGCGGUGAAAUGCGUAGAGAUGUGGAGGAACACCAGUGGCGAAGGCGGCUUUCUGGUCAGUAACUGACGCUGA
rnacentral:rRNA from 1 species